rnacentral:pre_miRNA from 1 species
UCUUACGGAUGAGCAAAGAAAGUGUCCCUUGAGAUGGAAUCUACUCCUGGUGAAGAUGCUGAGAA